UCCGGAAUUAUUGGGCGUAAAGCGCGCGCAGGCGGUUUCUUAAGUCUGAUGUGAAAGCCCCCGGCUCAACCGAGGGAGGGUCAUUGGAAACUGGGUGAACUUGAGUGCAGAAGAGGAGAAUGGAAUUCCACGUGUAGCGGUGAAAUGCGUAGAGAUGUGGAGGAACACCAGUGGCGAAGGCGACUCUCUGGUCUGUAACUGACGCUGAGGCGCGAAAGCGUGGGGAGCGAACAGGAUUAGAUACCCUGGUAGUCCACGCCGUAAACGAUGAGUGCUAAGUGUUAGAGGGUUUCCGCCCUUUAGUGCUGCAGCAAACGCAUUAAGCACUCCGCCUGGGGAGUACGGUCGCAAGACUGAAACUCAAAGGAAUUGACGGGGGCCCGCACAAGCGGUGGAGCAUGUGGUUUAAUUCGAAGCAACGCGAAGAACCUUACCAGGUCUUGACAUCCUCUGACAACCCUAGAGAUAGGGCUUCCCCUUCGGGGGCAGAGUGACAGGUGGUGCAUGGUUGUCGUCAGCUCGUGUCGUGAGAUGUUGGGUUAAGUCCCGCAACGAGCGCAACCCUUGAUCUUAGUUGCCAGCAUUCAGUUGGGCACUCUAAGGUGACUGCCGGUGACAAACCGGAGGAAGGUGGGGAUGACGUCAAAUCAUCAUGCCCCUUAUGACCUGGGCUACACACGUGCUACAAUGGGCAGAACAAAGGGCAGCGAAGCCGCGAGGCUAAGCCAAUCCCACAAAUCUGUUCUCAGUUCGGAUCGCAGUCUGCAACUCGACUGCGUGAAGCUGGAAUCGCUAGUAAUCGCGGAUCAGCAUGCCGGGGGAAAAACCUUUCCCGGGCCCUUGUACACACCCGCCCGUCACACCACGAAGAGUUUGUAACACCCGAAGUCGGUGAGGUAACCUUUUUGGAGCCAGCCGCCGAAGGUGGGACAGAUGAUUGGGGUGA
rnacentral:rRNA from 1 species